rnacentral:rRNA from 1 species
GACGAACGCUGGCGGCGUGCUUAACACAUGCAAGUCGAACGGAAAGGCCCUGCUUUUGUGGGGUGCUCGAGUGGCGAACGGGUGAGUAACACGUGAGUAACCUGCCCUUGACUUUGGGAUAACUUCAGGAAACUGGGGCUAAUACCGGAUAGGAGCUCCUGCUGCAUGGUGGGGGUUGGAAAGUUUCGGCGGUUGGGGAUGGACUCGCGGCUUAUCAGCUUGUUGGUGGGGUAGUGGCUUACCAAGGCUUUGACGGGUAGCCGGCCUGAGAGGGUGACCGGCCACAUUGGGACUGAGAUACGGCCCAGACUCCUACGGGAGGCAGCAGUGGGGAAUAUUGCACAAUGGGCGGAAGCCUGAUGCAGCAACGCCGCGUGCGGGAUGACGGCCUUCGGGUUGUAAACCGCUUUCGCCUGUGACGAAGCGUGAGUGACGGUAAUGGGUAAAGAAGCACCGGCUAACUACGUGCCAGCAGCCGCGGUGAUACGUAGGGUGCGAGCGUUGUCCGGAUUUAUUGGGCGUAAAGGGCUCGUAGGUGGUUGAUCGCGUCGGAAGUGUAAUCUUGGGGCUUAACCCUGAGCGUGCUUUCGAUACGGGUUGACUUGAGGAAAGUAAGGGAGAAUGGAAUUCCUGGUGGAGCGGUGGAAUGCGCAGAUAUCAUUGAGGAACACCAGUGGCGAAGGCGGUUCUCUGGGCCUUUCCUGACGCUGAGGAGCGAAAGCGUGGGGAGCGAGCAGGCUUAGAGACCGUGGUAGUCCACGCCGUUAGCGGUGGGUACUAGGUGAGGGGUCCAUUCCCCGGGUUCCGCGCGGUAGCUAACGCAUUAUGUACCCCGCCUGGGGAGUACGGCCGCAAGGCUAAACUUCAAAGGAAUAGACGGGGCGCCGCACAAGCGGCGGAGCAUGCGGAUUAAUUCGAUGCACCGCGUAGAACCUUACCUGGGUUUGACAUGGAUCGGGAGUGCUCAGAGAUGGGUGUGCCUCUUUUGGGGUCGGUUCACAGGUGGUGCAUGGCUGUCGUCAGCUCGUGUCGUGAGAUGUUGGGUUAAGUCCCGCAACGAGCGCAACCCUUGUUCACUGUUGCCAGCACGUUAUGGUGGGGACUCAGUGGAGACCGCCGGGGUCAACUCGGAGGAAGGUGGGGAUGACGUCAAGUCAUCAUGCCCCUUAUGUCCAGGGCUUCACGCAUGCUACAAUGGCUGGUACAGAGAGUGGCGAGCCCGUGAGGGUGAGCGAAUCUCGGAAAGCCGGUCUCAGUUCGGAUUGGGGUCUGCAACUCGACCUCAUGAAGUCGGAGUCGCUAGUAAUCGCAGAUCAGCAACGCUGCGGAAAAGACGUUCCCGGGGCU